rnacentral:rRNA from 1 species
UACGAAGGGGGCGAGCGUUGUUCGGAUUUACUGGGCGUAAAGGGCGCGUAGGCGGCCGAUCAAGUCAGGCGUGAAAGCCCCGGGCUCAACCUGGGAAUGGCGCUUGGGACUGGUUGGCUUGAGUUCGGGAGAGGAGAGUGGAAUUCCCAGUGUAGAGGUGAAAUUCGUAGAUAUUGGGAAGAACACCGGUGGCGAAGGCGGCUCUCUGGACCGAGACUGACGCUGAGGCGCGAAAAGCGUGGGGAGCAAACAGG